GUGGGGAAUAUUGGACAAUGGGGGGAACCCUGAUCCAGCCAUGCCGCGUGUGUGAAGAAGGCCUUUUGGUUGUAAAGCACUUUAAGCGAGGAGGAGGCUACCGAGAUUCAUACUCUUGGAUAGUGGCCGUUACUCGCAGAAUAAGCACCGGCUAACUCUGUGCCAGCAGCCGCGGUAAUACAGAGGGUGCAAGCGUUAAUCGGAUUUACUGGGCGUAAAGAGCGCGUAGGUGGCCAAGUAAGUCAACUGUGAAAUCCCCGAGCUUAACUUGGGAAUUGCAUUCGAUACUGGUUGGCUAGAGUAUGGGAGAGGAUGGUAGAAUUCCAGGUGUAGCGGUGAAAUGCGUAGAGAUCUGGAGGAAUACCGAUGGCGAAGGCAGCCAUCUGGCCUAAUACUGACACUGAGGUGCGAAAGCAUGGGGAGCAAACAGGAUUAGAUACCCGAGUAGUCC
rnacentral:rRNA from 1 species